GACGAACGCUGGCGGCGCGCCUAACACAUGCAAGUCGAACGGAGCAUUAAAGUGCUUGCACUGGAAUGCUUAGUGGCGGACGGGUGAGUAACACGUGAGCAACCUGCCUUUCAGAGGGGGAUAACGUUUGGAAACGAACGCUAAUACCGCAUAACGUAUCGAUGGGACAUCCUGUUGAUACCAAAGGAGCAAUCCGCUGAGAGAUGGGCUCGCGGCCGAUUAGGUAGUUGGCGGGGUAACGGCCCACCAAGCCGACGAUCAGUAGCCGACCUGAGAGGGUGACCGGCCACAUUGGGACUGAGACACGGGCCCAGACUCCUACGGGAGGCAGCAGUGGGGAAUAUUGCACAAUGGGGGAAACCCUGAUGCAGCGACGCCGCGUGAAGGAUGAAGUAUUUC
rnacentral:rRNA from 1 species